GUGAAUAUAGUUUAAUGGUAGAACAGGCGCUUGUGGCGCACCUUAUCUCGGUUCGAGCCCGGGUUUUCACCC
rnacentral:tRNA from 1 species